rnacentral:rRNA from 1 species
AGGAAUAUUGGUCAAUGGGCGAUGGCCUGAACCAGCCAAGUAGCGUGAAGGAUGACUGCCCUAUGGGUUGUAAACUUCUUUUAUAAAGGAAUAAAGUCGGGUAUGCAUACCCGUUUGCAUGUACUUUAUGAAUAAGGAUCGGCUAACUCCGUGCCAGCAGCCGCGGUAAUACGGAGGAUCCGAGCGUUAUCCGGAUUUAUUGGGUUUAAAGGGAGCGUAGAUGGAUGUUUAAGUCAGUUGUGAAAGUUUGCGGCUCAACCGUAAAAUUGCAGUUGAUACUGGAUGUCUUGAGUGCAGUUGAGGCAGGCGGAAUUCGUGGUGUAGCGGUGAAAUGCUUAGAUAUCACGAAGAACUCCGAUUGCGAAGGCAGCCUGCUAAGCUGCAACUGACAUUGAGGCUCGAAAGUGUGGGUAUCAAACAGGAUUAGAUACCCUGGUAGUCCACACGGUAAACGAUGAAUACUCGCUGUUUGUGAUAUACGGCAAGCGGCCAAGCGAAAGCGUUAAGUAUUCCACCUGGGGAGUACGCCGGCAACGGUGAAACUCAAAGGAAUUGACGGGGGCCCGCACAAGCGGAGGAACAUGUGGUUUAAUUCGAUGAUACGCGAGGAACCUUACCCGGGCUUAAAUUGCAAAUGAAUUAUGGGGAAACCCAUACGCCGCAAGGCAUUUGUGAAGGUGCUGCAUGGUUGUCGUCAGCUCGUGCCGUGAGGUGUCGGCUUAAGUGCCAUAACGAGCGCAACCCUUAUCUUCAGUUACUAACAGGUUAUGCUGAGGACUCUGGAGAGACUGCCGUCGUAAGAUGUGAGGAAGGUGGGGAUGACGUCAAAUCAGCACGGCCCUUACGUCCGGGGCUACACACGUGUUACAAUGGGGGGUACAGAAGGCCGCUACCUGGUGACAGGAUGCCAAUCCCAAAAACCUCUCUCAGUUCGGAUCGAAGUCUGCAACCCGACUUCGUGAAGCUGGAUUCGCUAGUAAUCGCGCAUCAGCCAUGGCGCGGUGAAUACGUUCCCG